CACGUAGGGGGCCAGCGUUGUCCGGAAUUACUGGGCGUAAAGCGCGCGUAGGCGGUUUGGUAAGCAGCGGGUGAAAUUCCGGGGCUCAACUCCGGAGCCGCUCGCUGAACUGCCAGACUAGAGUUCGGGAGAGGGCAGUGGAAUUCCUGGUGUAGCGGUGGAAUGCGUAAAUAUCAGGAAGAACACCCGUGGCGAAGGCUGCUGCCUGGAACGAUAAUGACGCUGAGGCGCGAAAGCUAGGGGAGCGAACGGG
rnacentral:rRNA from 1 species